GGAAAAAUAAAAUCAUUAUUUAAUCAACAGUGAGCUAAUCUGGUAUGGCACAGGAAAGUUUUUGAAUAUUAACAAUAGGUUAAUUCUGUAAUUUAAAAUAGAUGACAAUGCUAUCGCAACCACCACCAUGUUUUUAACAUCUGUAUGCAUAAUUUUUCAAGGAAGAAAGAACCUUGAAGCAUCCCGUGGCCUUAAUCUCUUAGAAAUCCUAAGGGAUGCUUGAGCCAAUUAAUAAAGAGCCCCUUCACUUGAAGUAUUUGAAAGCCAACAUUUGUGGUGAACAGGCAACAUCAGCUAAUCACAUAUUAAGGAUGAUUCCUUUGUUCACUGUGUGAAAGUGGUUUGUAGCAGACAUUCUUAUAUUCCCAUACUCAAUAUUUAUUUUCUCAAAGCCAAACUAAUUCCAAGAGCUAAUGUGACCUUUCAAUAGUAUUUUUUGCCCAUCUCUUAGAAAACAAUUUAAGGGGUUUCACUAUAUUAGGGGGAUUUUCCAUUUUUUCCUACUCUUCAAAAGAUUUGUCUUUCAUCUUCUUUUUCUUUCUCUCCAGCUACAAAAUGUGCUCAUUACGGGCCUAUCUGCCAGCAACAAAAGGGAGGAGACUCCUAUUUCAGCAGUUAGAAGAUGGGAAACAUUCAACCAGCCACCUAUUCUGGAAGAUACUAUUGGAAAGGGCACUUGACAAUGUUCUUCCUGGAUUCUCAGGUAGGUAUAAAAUAAUACCAAAUAAUUGUGAGAUAACUCGCAUGUCCUUGAACCCUGAUCUGCCCCCCCCACACACAAAGGAGUGUAUUUGUAAUGGUUAUUUUAGUUUUAAGCAACAAAAAUAAAAUUUAGCUAGUGUCACCAAAAAUAAUAAUAAUAAUAAUAAAAUUUUCAGAGUAGAAAAGUUGCUAAAAAGUUUUUAAGGGUUUUCAUGCGAAUCUCCUCAGAAGGUUGCCAUUAAUUAACCUUAACUCUACUUACUCCAUGUCCCAUUGUCUCCCCAAACCAGAUUUCAAAUACCUGGGGAAAGAACCUGAUUGGCUCUGCUAGUCAGGUGUCAUCCAUACCUGAAAGAAUCAGCCCUAUGUGGGGCUGUCCUGGAGAAGCAGGAAGACUGUGCUAGGUUGGCACUCCAGAAAGUUCCGGCUCAGGAAACUUAAGCCAAGUACACAUCACUCAAAGCCACAUGAUUUUCAGGAAAAGGCCGGAGUUGAGGGUAAGCAUCUAACUUCCACAGAAGGAAGAAGUCUAUUUCUUGUUGAAUUCAAUCAGACUACCUACCAUGUUUUGUUUCUUUGGUGGCUUUUUGGCAAAAAAAAAAAAAAAAAAAAAAAAAAAAAAAAAAAAAAAAAAAAGCAUUAUUAAGCAUAAAUCUUCAUUUUGGUGGCCAGGCUACACCCUCAUGGUCUCAAUAUUUAGUACCUCAUGUCCAUUGAUCUGGCAGAAAAAUAGAAGCUGUUUAAGACACCCCUUAGGAAUUGGGUGAUGUUAAUGAAAGUUUAGAGACAUUAGUGUAAUGUAUGGUAACCAGUGGCAAUAACACCUGGUACUUCUUUGCAAAAUUGGCCUUUCCAUGAGUCCCCUUUGUCAUACCAGC
ensembl:lncRNA